AAGAAACUGCACGGAGGGGAUGAGGCAGCAAGAAUUCCUGCGCCCGAACGCAGCGCCCUCGCCCCAGCUGCAAAGCCCUGGCUACAGGAGGCGGAGAAAGCUUGGCACGUGGAAAUUGUGCAAGCUCCACAACUGGGCCAUCUCAGCAGAGUAACGGUGGAAGAGACAUCGUCUCCAACAGGCUUUGGAUUCUGGCUGCAUUUGCAAGCUGAGCGCGGAAAAACGCUGAGAGUCAGUGCUGAACCAGCUUUGCCUUUUGCUGGGCAGAGGAGAAAAGAGACAGGAGUGAUGCAGUGUAAAACCUGCAUUACUUUUCACACUCGGAGGCUCACUUUGGUUGGCCUUCCUCUGCCUACAAGGGAUCAGAGCGGCUUCCUGAGCGAACCCCUGCCACCGGCUGAGCCGAGCAAACAGAAGUGACUUGCAGCCAAGUCCCGUUGACACAACCUAGUUUCUGUGGGCA
rnacentral:lncRNA from 1 species